CAGCAGCCGCGGUAAUACGUAGGUGGCAAGCGUUGUCCGGAAUUAUUGGGCGUAAAGGGCUCGCAGGCGGUUUCUUAAGUCUGAUGUGAAAGCCCCCGGCUCAACCGGGGAGGGUCAUUGGAAACUGGGAAACUUGAGUGCAGAAGAGGAGAGUGGAAUUCCACGUGUAGCGGUGAAAUGCGUAGAGAUGUGGAGGAACACCAGUGGCGAAGGCGACUCUCUGGUCUGUAACUUACGCUGAGGAGCGAAAGCGUGGGGAGCGAACAGGAUUAGAUACCCCUGUAGUCCCUGUCUCUUAUAC
rnacentral:rRNA from 1 species